ACGGGAGGCAGCAGUGGGGAAUAUUGGGCAAUGGGCGCAAGCCUGACCCAGCAAUGCCGCGUGAGGGAAGAAGGCUUUCGGGUUGUAAACUUCUUUUAAGUGGGACGAUAAUGACGGUACCACUUGAAUAAGCUCCGGCUAACUACGUGCCAGCAGCCGCGGUAAUACGUAGGGAGCAAGCGUUAUCCGGAUUUACUGGGUGUAAAGGGCGUGUAGGCGGGACAGCAAGUCUGAUGUGAAAGGUGGAGGCUCAACUUCGUGACUGCAUUUGAAACUGACGUUCUUGAGUGUUGGAGAGGCUAACGGAAUUCCUAGUGUAGCGGUGAAAUGCGUAGAUAUUAGGAGGAACACCAGUGGCGAAGGCGGCUUACUGGACGAUAACUGACGUUGAGGCUCGAAAGCGUGGGGAGCAAACAGGAUUAGAUACCCUGGUA
rnacentral:rRNA from 1 species